rnacentral:lncRNA from 1 species
GAGCUCUUAAUCCUUCAUCGGCUUUACCAAUUUUAGCUCUUAUCAGCAUUCCAUUCAUCCUCGGCAGUAUACGUUCCCAUAUAACUUUUUAUCCUCAGACGUGCAGGAUAUUGAGUUCUUAUACUAAUAAUACAUUAGAGGUUACACUCAUACUAAUAAUACAUUAGAGGUUACACAGAACAGCCUUUUUUCAUAGCUUUGCAUAUGAUAUAAGAUAUAAGGUUCAGAAAAAAAUCUGAGGCAGGCGAAUAACUUUUGCAUGGGAAGAAUGAAUCGUUUUCGUUUUUUCCAUACACAGAAUUUUGGCAAUAAUUUACUACCUAACCAAUGUAUUUUUGAUGCAGCAAAAUAGAAAUUUGAUCUCGAAAGCUGCUUGUUCCAUCGUAUUCUUUUGCCGCAAGAGAUAACAUCUCAAGAUCUUUCUUGAUGCUUACACGAAAUAUAUAAUGGAACAAAAUCAUAGGAAUAGAUUUUACUAACGAAUGAUGGAUAAUUUAAAAUAGAAAACACUACUGUGUCUUAAAGGUCUUAAUUUAAAUUCCUAUUGGUCAACUGCUUUUGUAAAUAAAGCAAAUUUUGUAAAGAAACCAUUAAUAUUGACCAACAGUAAGGGGCCAAGAAAAUCAAAUGGCCAGUAUAGGAAGGAAGUCGGGUAAGACACCUAUUGUUAUUCUUUCAGAUUACUUCAUUCUGUCGCGUGGAUUCCUAUAGCUUUCCCUAACUCUCUCUUUUCGUCAAAUAAUAUGUUUACAAAAAGAUUGCUUUGUUUAUAAAAGCAGUUGACCAAUAGAAAUUGAAAUCGAGAAGUGAAAAUUCCAGAGAGUUCACAUGUCCCCUCAAGUAAAUUUAAAUACUAUUUCUUUGGUAUUGUUAUUUAACGUGUAAGCUUUCAAUGAAGAUUUUGGUACCUAUGCUACCUGCCACGUCUCGGGACCAAAGAAAACGAUGGACCAGAUAUAAAAUAACCUCCGUGCUUGACAAAAAAGCUGCUCUUGGAACAAAUGAUGAUUCCGCAGUCUCGACAUUACAUUGGUUAGGUAAUAAAUUGUCUCCGGCAUUCUGUCAUCUGGAAAAAAACGAAAGCCGUUUUCUCAUUCUAAAGUUAUUCGCCUGCUUCAGAAAUUCUACUAAACCUUUUUUAUAUGUGAGGGUAAGAAAGGCCAAGAAAGAAGGCUGAUGGUCUAAAGUGUAGACUGUAGCCUCUAAUGUAUCUAUUUAGCAGUACGAAAGGUAAUUGAAUGUUUAAACUCAACAAUAUUCACUCUUGAGGAUGAAGAUGACGAUGUUGAUAUUGCUCAGGAUGAAUAGAAUGUUGAUUAGUGGUAAGCUGAUGAAGGAUUAAGAGCGCUAAUAGUACAUCCGAUGCUAUUUUGGAUUUUGUAUUUGGGUUUAUAAUUGAAAAAU